GUGCUCACUUUGGUAGCACAUGUACUAAAAUUUGAGCAAUACAGAGAAGAUCACCAUGGCCCCUGUGCCAGGAUGACAUGAGAAUUUGUGAAGUGUUCCAUAUUUUU